rnacentral:rRNA from 1 species
AUACGGAGGAUCCGAGCGUUAUCCGGAUUUAUUGGGUUUAAAGGGUGCGCAGGCGGCCAUUUAAGUCAGCGGUUAAAUCGUGGGGCUCAACCCCAUUCUGCCGUUGAUACUGGGUGGCUUGAUUGCGGUCGAGGUUGGCGGAAUUCGUUGUGUAGCGGUGAAAUGCAUAGAUAUGACGAAGAACACCGAUUGCGUAGGCAGCUGACCAGACCGCAAAUGACGCUCAUGCACGAAAGUGCGGGGAUCGAACAGGAUUAGAUACCCUGGUAGUCCGCACAGUAAACGAUGAAUACUUGUUUUCGGCGAUAUAAUGUCGGAGGCAAAGCGAAUGCGAUAAGUAUUGCACCUGGGGAGUACGCCGGCAACGGUGAAACUCAAAUGAAUUGACGGGG